rnacentral:miRNA from 1 species
UAUUGGGUUGGCCAAAAAGUUCAUUUGGGUUUCCCAUCAGAUGGUAUGAAAAACCCAAAUGAACUUCUUGGCUAACUCAAU